rnacentral:rRNA from 1 species
CGUAGGGUGCGAGCGUUAAUCGGAAUUACUGGGCGUAAAGCGUGCGCAGGCGGCUUUGUAAGACAGGCGUGAAAUCCCCGGGCUCAACCUGGGAACUGCGCUUGUGACUGCAAGGCUAGAGUACGGCAGAGGGGGGUGGAAUUCCACGUGUAGCAGUGAAAUGCGUAGAGAUGUGGAGGAACACCAAUGGCGAAGGCAGCCCCCUGGGUCGAUACUGACGCUCAUGCACGAAAGCGUGGGUAGCAAACAGGAUUAGAUACCCUGGUAGUCCACGCCCUAAACGAUGUCAACUAGGUGUUGGGUGGGUAAAACCAUUUAGUACCGGAGCUAACGCGUGAAGUUGACCGCCUGGGGAGUACGGCCGCAAGGUUA